rnacentral:rRNA from 1 species
GACGAACGCUGGCGGCGUGCUUAACACAUGCAAGUCGAACGGAGAGGCCCUGCGGGGUGGAUCAGUGACGAACGGGGGCGAAAGGCGGGGGCAAGCGGAACCUGGCCCUGGGACAACCGCGGAAAACGGUGGGUAAUGCCGGAUAAGACCGGACACGGCAUCGUGUGGGGGUGGAGAGUGGUUCGGCGGGGGCUGGGGUCGCGGCCCAUCCGCUUGUUGGGGAGGUGGAGUCUCACCAAGGCGACGACGGGGAGCCGGCCUGAGAGGGCGACCGGCCGCACUGGCCUUCGGGCGCCGCCCAUACUCCUACGGGCGGCAGCGGUGGGGAAUAUUGCACGAUGGGCGAAAGCCUGAUGCAGCGACUCCGCGUUGGGGAUCACUGUUUUCGGGUUGUAAACCUCUUUCAGCUCCGAGGAAGCGAAAGUGACGGUAGCAGCAGAGGAAGCACCGGCUAACUACGUG